GCCGAGGUAGCUAAGUCCGGCCUAAGGCGGUGGCCUCGAGAGCCACUGGUGCUUCGCACCACAGGAGUUCGAAUCUCCUCCUCGGCG
rnacentral:tRNA from 1 species